rnacentral:tRNA from 1 species
GCGGCGGUAGCUCAAUGAUAGAGCCCCCCCGUUCACAUGCGGGGAUAUCUGGGUUCGAUUCCCGGCUGCUUCU